rnacentral:rRNA from 1 species
CCUACGGGUGGCAGCAGUGGGGAAUAUUGGGCAAUGGGCGCAAGCCUGAUCCAGCAACGCCGCGUGAAGGAAGAAGGCUUUCGGGUUGUAAACUUCUUUUCUGAGGGACGAAGAAGGUGAUGGUACCUCAGGAAUAAGCCACGGCUAACUACGUGCCAGCAGCCGUGGUACUACGUUGGUGGCAAGCGUUAUCCGGAUUUAGUGGGUGUAAAGGGGGUGUAGGCGGGAAAGCAAGUCAGAAGUGAAAGCUCAGGGCUCAACCCUGAGCCUGUAUUUGAAACUGUGUUGCUUGAGUGCUGGAGAGGUAAGCGGAAUUCCGUGUGUAGCGGUGAAAUGCGUAGAUAUACGGAGGAACACCAGUGGCGAAGGCGGAUUGCUGGACAGUAACUGACGCUGAGGCGCGAAAGCGUGGGGAGCAAACAGGAUUAGAUACCCCUGUAGUC